GACUAACGCUGGCGGCGUGCUUAACACAUGCAAGUCGAGCGGAAAGGCCCUGCUUUUGUGGGGUGCUCGAGUGGCGAACGGGUGAGUAACACGUGAGUAACCUGCCCUUGACUUUGGGAUAACUUCAGGAAACUGGGGCUAAUACCGGAUAGGAGCUCCUGCUGCAUGGUGGGGGUUGGAAAGUUUCGGCGGUUGGGGAUGGACUCGCGGCUUAUCAGCUUGUUGGUGGGGUAGUGGCUUACCAAGGCUUUGACGGGUAGCCGGCCUGAGAGGGUGACCGGCCACAUUGGGACUGAGAUACGGCCCAGACUCCUACGGGAGGCAGCAGUGGGGAAUAUUGCACAAUGGGCGGAAGCCUGAUGCAGCAACGCCGCGUGCGGGAUGACGGCCUUCGGGUUGUAAACCGCUUUCGCCUGUGACGAAGCGUGAGUGACGGUAAUGGGUAAAGAAGCACCGGCUAACUACGUGCCAGCAGCCGCGGUGAUACGUAGGGUGCGAGCGUUGUCCGGAUUUAUUGGGCGUAAAGGGCUCGUAGGUGGUUGAUCGCGUCGGAAGUGUAAUCUUGGGGCUUAACCCUGAGCGUGCUUUCGAUACGGGUUGACUUGAGGAAGGUAGGGGAGAAUGGAAUUCCUGGUGGAGCGGUGGAAUGCGCAGAUAUCAGGAGGAACACCAGUGGCGAAGGCGGUUCUCUGGGCCUUUCCUGACGCUGAGGAGCGAAAGCGUGGGGAGCGAACAGGCUUAGAUACCCUGGUAGUCCACGCUGUAAACGGUGGGUACUAGGUGUGGGGUCCAUUCCACGGGUUCCGUGCCGUAGCUAACGCUUUAAGUACCCCGCCUGGGGAGUACGGCCGCAAGGCUAAAACUCAAAGGAAUUGACGGGGCCCCGCACAAGCGGCGGAGCAUGCGGAUUAAUUCGAUGCAACGCGUAGAACCUUACCUGGGUUUGACAUGGAUCGGGAGCGCUCAGAGAUGGGUGUGCCUCUUUUGGGGUCGGUUCACAGGUGGUGCAUGGCUGUCGUCAGCUCGUGUCGUGAGAUGUUGGGUUAAGUCCCGCAACGAGCGCAACCCUUGUUCACUGUUGCCAGCACGUUAUGGUGGGGACUCAGUGGAGACCGCCGGGGUCAACUCGGAGGAAGGUGGGGAUGACGUCAAGUCAUCAUGCCCCUUAUGUCCAGGGCUUCACGCAUGCUACAAUGGCUGGUACAGAGAGUGGCGAGCCUGUGAGGGUGAGCGAAUCUCGGAAAGCCGGUCUCAGUUCGGAUUGGGGUCUGCAACUCGACCUCAUGAAGUCGGAGUCGCUAGUAAUCGCAGAUCAGCAACGCUGCGGUGAAUACGUUCCCGGG
rnacentral:rRNA from 1 species